rnacentral:lncRNA from 1 species
CUCUGCUCUUGCUUCCCUGCCUCCUGCUUCGGCGUUUCCCUGUCCUGAUGGACUGUCCUAGAACUAUGAGCCAUGGUAAAGCCGUUGCUUUUGUCUGAGUAUUUUUAUCACAGUGAUGGAAAGGCCUGUGAAAGGGGCAUUGAGAAGUGCUGUUCUAGACAGAUGAACACACCAUGGAAGCCUACGUGUCUCCUGCACAAAUCAGUGGUGCCCACACCAUCCAGAGACCAUGGAUAGGAAGACGCAGCAUGCAUAGACAAUGGGAAUUUUUUUCAGCCAUGAAGAAUAAUGAAGUUGUAUCACUUGCAGGAAAAUGGAUGUGACUAGAGAUACUCAUACUAAGAGAAUAAAGGCUGUCUCAGGAAGAUAUUAAUAUUACUUAUAUGUGGUUCCUUGACCUUAUAUAGAUACACAAAAUCAC